rnacentral:rRNA from 1 species
UACGUAGGGUGCGAGCGUUGUCCGGAAUUAUUGGGCGUAAAGGGCUCGUAGGCGGUCUGUUGCGUCAGGAGUGAAAACUCGGGGCUUAACCCCGAGCCUGCUUCUGAUACGGGCAGACUAGAGGUAUGCAGGGGAGAACGGAAUUCCUGGUGUAGCGGUGAAAUGCGCAGAUAUCAGGAGGAACACCAACGGCGAAGGCAGCACUCUGGGCUGGAACUGACGCUGAGGAGCGAAAGCGUGGGUAGCAAACAGG